rnacentral:rRNA from 1 species
UGCCAACUAAGCGUUGAUCCGAGGGUGUCCGAAUGGGGAAACCUGGCCGUCGUUGUGGGCGGUCGCCGUUAGAUGAAUUCAUAGUCUAAUUGGUGGUUACGCGGGGAAGUGAAACAUCUCAGUACCCGUAGGAGUAGAAAACAAUUGUGAUUCCGUUAGUAGUGGCGAACGAACGUGGAUGAGGCUAAACCGCGUGCGUGUGAUACCUGGCAGGGUUUGCGUGCGUGGGGUUGUGGGGAUGCAUUGUUGCAGGGUCUGCUAGUCCUGCGUUGCGUGUGUGUGGGUGUAGCGGAAGUGGAUUGGAAUGUCCUGCCGUAGACGGUGAGAGUCCGGUACGUGAAACACUCGCAUCUGCAAUUGGUGUGUUGCCCGAGUAGCAGCGGGCUCGUGGAAUCUGCUGUGAAUCUGCCGGGACCACCCGGUAAGCCUAAAUACCU